rnacentral:rRNA from 1 species
AACGAACGCUGGCGGCAUGCCUAACACAUGCAAGUCGAACGAGACCUUCGGGUCUAGUGGCGCACGGGUGCGUAACGCGUGGGAACCUGCCCUUAGGUUCGGAAUAACUCCCCGAAAGGGGUGCUAAUACCGGAUAAUGUCUUCGGACCAAAGAUUUAUCGCCUUUGGAUGGGCCCGCGUUGGAUUAGCUAGUUGGUAGGGUAAAAGCCUACCAAGGCGACGAUCCAUAGCUGGUCUGAGAGGAUGAUCAGCCACACUGGGAAUGAGACACGGCCCAGACUCCGACGGGAGGCAGCAGUGGGGAAUAUUGGACAAGGGGCGAAAGCCUGAUCCAGCAAUGCCGCGUGAGUGAUGAAGGCCUUAGGGUUGUAAAGCUCUUUUACACGGGAUGAUAAUGACAGUACCGGGAGAAUAAGCUCCGGCUAACUCCGUG